rnacentral:rRNA from 1 species
GACGUAGGGAGCGAGCGUUGUCCGGAUUCAUUGGGCGUAAAGCGCGCGUAGGCGGUUUGUCGCGUCGGGAGUGAAAACCUUGGGCUUAACUCAGGGCUUGCUUUCGAUACGGGCAGACUAGAGGUAUGCAGGGGAGAACGGAAUUCCUGGUGUAGCGGUGAAAUGCGCAGAUAUCAGGAGGAACACCGGUGGCGAAGGCGGUUCUCUGGGCAUGAUCUGACGCUGAGACGCGAAAGCGUGGGGAGCGAACAGG